GCCCAGCUAGCUCAGUUGGUAGAGCAUGAGACUCUUAAUCUCAAGGUCAUGGGUUCAAGCCCCAUGUUGGGCA
rnacentral:tRNA from 1 species